rnacentral:rRNA from 2 species
UUGACCUCAAAUCAGGUAGGAUUACCCGCUGAACUUAAGCAUAUCAAUAAGCGGAGGAAAAGAAACUAACAAGGAUUCCCCUAGUAACUGCGAGUGAAGCGGGAAGAGCUCAAAUUUGAAAUCUGACGGUUGUUGACCGUCCGAGUUGUAAUCUAGAGAAGUGUUACCUGUGCUGGACCGUGUACAAGUCUUCUGGAAUGGAGCAUCAUAGAGGGUGAGAAUCCCGUCUUUGACAUGGACUACCUGUACGUUGUGGUACGCUCUCAAAGAGUCGAGUUGUUUGGGAAUGCAGCUCAAAAUGGGUGGUAAAUGCCAUCUAAAGCUAAAUAUUGGCGAGAGACCGAUAGCGAACAAGUACCGUGAGGGAAAGAUGAAAAGAACUUUGGAAAGAGAGUUAAACAGUACGUGAAAUUGCUGAAAGGGAAACGCUUGAAGUCAGUCACGUCGGCUAGAAAUCAGCCUUGCUUCUGCUUGGUGUACUUUCUGGUUGAUGGGUCAGCAUCAAUUUUGACCAUUGGAUAAAGUCUCUGGGAAUGUGGCAUCUUUUUUUAGAUGUGUUAUAGCCCAUUGUCGCAUACGGUGGUUGGGAUUGAGGAACUCAGCAUGCCCUGCAAGGGGCCAGGUUUCGACCAUGUUCAUGCUUAGGAUGCUGGCAUAAUGGCUUCAAUCGACCCGU